UGUGAUGUCUAUGUGUACAGAAUGUUUGCAGAGAACACAAAGUCACUGUGCCCUUGCGGGGGCCUCCCAGGACCCACUGGGCUCGUCACAUAGCUGAUCUCCUCCCAGUCACCACCACUCAUGCCCUCCGAGGUGCCAGCAGGAACUCCGAUCUCGCUUUACCUGCCUGGGUACCAUCCUAAGUACCACUUUCCGGCCAAGUCCUGGAGGAUAAGCCAGAUCUUUCCCGCCCUCCUAUGGCUCUGGCAUCAGUGAGCUCUCACAACUACUACCUGAGAAUCAUGAGAGACCCUGAGGCUCUCCGGGACGUCACCAUCUAUCUCUGUGACACUGCUGAAGGCUGUUGGUGUAGGCAUGGUCUUCAGCUGCUGGUGCUACUGGGAGGAGGUGGGACCACGAAGAAGAUGACAGCCUCAUCAGCAGACUCAGCCAUUGGGCUCUUAGAAGGAAGUAUGUCACCAGGCAUGUUCCUUCGACCACAGACUGAAACUCCUGAACUCAUAACCCCAAAUCCCUCCUCCUCUAAGCUGGCAUUUUCAGGCAUCUUGUUUAAGUGACAAGAAUGAAGUGACAUCUUUAUGGCUGCAAAUAAAAUCAGUCAUCACAGGAGAGGAAUACAGAUGACAGAUAUACAUCAACAGCUUUGCACCUCGAAGGACAGCUCUGAGAGGAAGACACUGCAGUUGUCACACUCUGCCUUCAGUGGGAAGUCCAUCCUGAUUUUAAAAAAAAGUUCUGUUUAAUCUUCAAAUCCCAUGUUGUCCCAAUAGAGCAUCUGUGAAAAGAAAAAACGUAAAACGAGA